AUCUCUAAUAAAAAUAAUACAAAUGUCGAUACUUCGUUUUAAAUGAGAAUUUUUAACUAUUUAGUUCCACAUUUAUCGCACAUAAAGGCUAGUACUGACUUCAUAGCCGUGGAAUUUCGCCAGCAACAUGCAUUUGGCAUGCCGUGAAACGUUGCUGGCAACAUUAAUUGUCAAAUGAGAAGAAACGUCAAAAUGAAAAUUGAACAAAUGUAAACAAACAAAUUUAUGAGCAUCGCCCGCAAGCAAUCAGCAAAUUUUGCUUUAACUACAUUUAGCAGCAUUUGGGGAGUUUUGCGAGCUCCCGGCACAACCACUAGCAUCCAGAAGAGUAGGUGCAUUACCCCAGAAGCAAUUACGAAAUUUUGGUUUAACUACAUUUAGCAGCAUUUGGAGAGUUUUGCGAGCUUCUGGCACAACCACUAGCAUCCAGAAGAGUAGGUGCAUCACCCCAGAAGCAAUUGUAUUUUACUUUACAAAAUUGAAUGCGCUACAAAACCGCAUACUUUCCGCAUAUUUUCAAAAAUUUUUGAUUAGUAAGUUUGAAAUUUUCAUGUUUUUUUUUAAGUUUGAUUAUUUUGUGUGAACUUAUUCCAGGUUUAAAAUUUUUAUUUAUGCGGUAUAAAUAAACAUAAGUUGCAACAAAUAUAACUUUGAAUUUUGUUACUAUCUUAUUGACCGCAGCUGUAUGUAAGUGUAACCUGGCGCUCCUCGACUUGUUUAUGUUAUGAUUGGUCAAGCGGUCUAGGACGCAAUUAUAUUUUGAUGACCUAGCUGCCAAUGAAAAACAGUUCAAGGAGAAUUUUCAUAUGGAUGUAUUUAGUUUCAACGAGUUGUAUGAGCUGGUUCAUCCUCAACUGCAACCUAAAAAGCGAACAAGGCCAAACGAUGAAAUUUCUCCAAAGCAAUAGCUGGCUGUCGUGUUGGAGUACUUUGCUUGUGGAACACUGCAACGGCAUGUUGCGUCUGUUUACCGUAUAAGCAAACAACACUUUGGAAUCAUUUUAGUCGAAGUUUGCGACGCCAUUAUUUCUGCGUUAGGCAAGGAAAUUCUACCGCUAACACCUGCAGACAUGGUGUAAUAAUAACAAGGUGUUGUCAGUAACUUAACCUCACUUUUUCGGCAGGUCUCUUCCGGUCACGCAUUUUAAAGUAGUAGAAAAAGUACUACUUAUUUACUACUUUUAAUUCGUUCGUGCAUACUAUUUCAAAUUAAAUGUAGAAAAAUGUUUAAUAACAGGCUUAUAAGCCUGAAUAUAUGUUUGUAUCGUAAGCUCCACACAGGUUGUACAUAUAUUGUAACUUAUAAAAAAGUACAGGCCGUAAAAUAAGG